CCUACGGGUGGCUGCAGUGAGGAAUAUUGGUCAAUGGACGAGAGUCUGAACCAGCCAAGUAGCGUGAAGGAUGACUGCCCUAUGGGUUGUAAACUUCUUUUAUAAAGGAAUAAAACGAGGCAUGUGUGCCCUUUUGUAUGUACUUUAUGAAUAAGGAUCGGCUAACUCCGUGCCAGCAGCCGCGGUAAUACGGAGGAUCCGAGCGUUAUCCGGAUUUAUUGGGUUUAAAGGGAGCGUAGAUGGGUUGUUAAGUCAGUUGUGAAAGUUUGCGGCUCAACCGUAAAAUUGCAAUUGAAACUGGCAGUCUUGAGUACAGUUGAGGUAGGCGGAAUUCGUGGUGUAGCGGUGAAAUGCUUAGAUAUCACGAAGAACCCCGAUUGCGAAGGCAGUUUACUAAACUGUAACUGACAUUGAUGCUCGAAAGUGUGGGUAUCAAACAGGAUUAGAUACCCUAGUAGUC
rnacentral:rRNA from 1 species